UACGAAGGGGGCUAGCGUUGCUCGGAAUCACUGGGCGUAAAGCGCACGUAGGCGGAUUUUUAAGUCAGGGGUGAAAUCCUGGAGCUCAACUCCAGAACUGCCUUUGAUACUGGGAAUCUCGAGUCCGGGAGAGGUGAGUGGAACUCCGAGUGUAGAGGUGAAAUUCGUAGAUAUUCGGAAGAACACCAGUGGCGAAGGCGGCUCACUGGCCCGAUACUGACGCUGAGGUGCGAAAGCGUGGGGAGCAAACAGG
rnacentral:rRNA from 1 species